rnacentral:rRNA from 1 species
GAUGAACGCUGGCGGCGUGCCUAAUACAUGCAAGUCGAACGAGUUCUCGUUGAUGAUCGGUGCUUGCACCGAGAUUCAACAUGGAACGAGUGGCGGACGGGUGAGUAACACGUGGGUAACCUGCCCUUAAGUGGGGGAUAACAUUUGGAAACAGAUGCUAAUACCGCAUAGAUCCAAGAACCGCAUGGUUCUUGGCUGAAAGAUGGCGUAAGCUAUCGCUUUUGGAUGGACCCGCGGCGUAUUAGCUAGUUGGUGAGGUAAUGGCUCACCAAGGCGAUGAUACGUAGCCGAACUGAGAGGUUGAUCGGCCACAUUGGGACUGAGACACGGCCCAAACUCCUACGGGAGGCAGCAGUAGGGAAUCUUCCACAAUGGACGCAAGUCUGAUGGAGCAACGCCGCGUGAGUGAAGAAGGCUUUCGGGUCGUAAAACUCUGUUGUUGGAGAAGAAUGGUCGGCAGAGUAACUGUUGUCGGCGUGACGGUAUCCAACCAGAAAGCCACGGCUAACUACGUGCCAGCAGCCGCGGUAAUACGUAGGUGGCAAGCGUUAUCCGGAUUUAUUGGGCGUAAAGCGAGCGCAGGCGGUUUUUUAAGUCUGAUGUGAAAGCCCUCGGCUUAACCGAGGAAGCGCAUCGGAAACUGGGAAACUUGAGUGCAGAAGAGGACAGUGGAACUCCAUGUGUAGCGGUGAAAUGCGUAGAUAUAUGGAAGAACACCAGUGGCGAAGGCGGCUGUCUGGUCUGUAACUGACGCUGAGGCUCGAAAGCAUGGGUAGCGAACAGGAUUAGAUACCCUGGUAGUCCAUGCCGUAAACGAUGAAUGCUAGGUGUUGGAGGGUUUCCGCCCUUCAGUGCCGCAGCUAACGCAUUAAGCUUUCCGCCUGGGGAGUACGACCGCAAGGUUGAAACUCAAAGGAAUUGACGGGGGCCCGCACAAGCGGUGGAGCAUGUGGUUUAAUUCGAAGCAACGCGAAGAACCUUACCAGGUCUUGACAUCUUUUGAUCACCUGAGAGAUCAGGUUUCCCCUUCGGGGGCAAAAUGACAGGUGGUGCAUGGUUGUCGUCAGCUCGUGUCGUGAGAUGUUGGGUUAAGUCCCGCAACGAGCGCAACCCUUAUGACUAGUUGCCAGCAUUUAGUUGGGCACUCUAGUAAGACUGCCGGUGACAAACCGGAGGAAGGUGGGGAUGACGUCAAAUCAUCAUGCCCCUUAUGACCUGGGCUACACACGUGCUACAAUGGAUGGUACAACGAGUUGCGAGACCGCGAGGUCAAGCUAAUCUCUUAAAGCCAUUCUCAGUUCGGACUGUAGGCUGCAACUCGCCUACACGAAGUCGGAAUCGCUAGUAAUCGCGGAUCAGCACGCCGCGGUGAAUACGUUCCCGGGCCUUGUACACACCGCCCGUCACACCAUGAGAGUUUGUAACACCCGAAGCCGGUGGCGUAACCCUUUUAGGGAGCGAGCCGUCUAAGGUGGGACAAAUGAUUAGGGUG